AACGAACGCUGGCGGCAUGCCUAACACAUGCAAGUCGAACGAGACCUUCGGGUCUAGUGGCGCACGGGUGCGUAACGCGUGGGAAUCUGCCCUUCGGUUGGGAAUAACUGAGAGAAAUUUCAGCUAAUACCUUAUAAUGUCUUCGGACCAAAGAUUUAUCGCCGAGGGAUGAGCCCGCGUAGGAUUAGGUAGUUGGUGGGGUAAUGGCCUGCCAAGCCGACGAUCCUUAGCUGGUCUGAGAGGAUGAUCAGCCACACUGGGACUGAGACACGGCCCAGACUCCUACGGGAGGCAGCAGUGGGGAAUAUUGGACAAUGGGCGAAAGCCUGAUCCAGCAAUGCCGCGUGAGUGAUGAAGGCCUUAGGGUUGUAAAGCUCUUUUACCCGGGAUGAUAAUGACAGUACCGGGAGAAUAAGCUCCGGCUAACUCCGUG
rnacentral:rRNA from 1 species